rnacentral:rRNA from 1 species
CGUGGGGAGCGAACCGGAUUAGAUACCCGGGUAGUCCACGCCGUAAACGAUGGAUACUAGCUGUUGGAGGUAUCGACCCCUUCAGUAGCGAAGCUAACGCGUUAAGUAUCCCGCCUGUGGAGUACGGUCGCAAGACUAAAACAUAAAGGAAUUGACGGGGACCCGCACAAGCGGUGGAUUAUGUUCUUUAAUUCGAUGCUAACCGAAGAACCUUACCAGGGUUUGACAUCCCGAGAAUUACUACGAAAGUAGUGAGUGCUUUAUUGAACUCGGUGACAGAUGUUGCAUGGCCGUCGUCAGCUCGUGUCGUGAGAUGUUUGGUUAAGUCCAUCAACGAGCGCAACCCUUGUGAUUAGUUGUAUUUUUCUAAUCAGACUGCCCCGGCAACGGGGAGGAAGGAGGGGAUGAUGUCAGGUCAGUAUUUCUCUUACGUCCUGGGCUAGAAACGUAAUACAAUGGCAAGUACAAUGCGCUGCGAAGCCGCGAGGUGAAGCAAAUCGCACCAAAGCUCGUCCCAGUUCGGAUUGGAGGCUGAAACUCGCCUCCAUGAAGUCGGAAUCGCUAGUAAUCGCAGAUCAGCAAACUGCGGUGAAUACGUUCCCGGGUCUUGUACACACCGCCCGUCAAACCAUGAAAGUGACCAACACCCGAAGUCCGAUUCGUCGGCCUAAGGUGGGGGGCAUGAUUGGGGUUAAGUCGUAACAAGGUAUCCGUAGCGGAAGCUGCGGAUG